rnacentral:lncRNA from 1 species
UUUUAUUUACAGUAUUGUGCGACUUGGAGGGUUGUCUUAAAAGCUUAGAGCGGAAUCUCGAUCGACUGAUACAGAACAGCAGCCAUAACUGAAGAGAAAAGGGAAAGGGAAACUUGCAGGUACUCUCUCUUUCUUAUCUCUUGUUUACUUUGGUUCCAGCUGUUUUCUAGUUUUUUUUUUUUUUUUUUUUAUGUUAUUAAUCAUUUAGAUUAAACUACUGCCAGUGACUACUUCAAUUAUAAACUAUCAAACUCACCUUCGUGGGCUUUGUAAGGAUUACAAGAUGUGUGCUUUGUAAAUAAUUAAGGCUUAUAUAGCCAGAUGGGGAUCCUUAAUGGCUUUCCUUUCCUGCUCCAUCUGUGCUUCUAAAUGCGUGGUAGCAAGUGAGGAUAACAUAUGUACAGAUAUUUCUCUGAAAGGGUCUGGGGAGUUGAUUGCUGGGAAAUAACUUGAAAGAUGUUAUAAAGAAAAAGCAGGAUAAUAAAAUAUAAGUACUUUAGCUAAUUGAUGUGCUAUCGAUCUUGUCUAGUUAUGAACCCAUUUUGUUGGUUCAGCAUAGAGAUUGAUCACAAGUUAUAAACUAAUAAAUUCACUUUCUUGGGUAUUGUUAGGAUUGCAAGAUGUGUGCUUUUGCAAAUAAUUGAGGCUUCUAGAUGGGCAUCCUUGUGUGCUUGUAAAUGAUGGUAGCAAGUGCUGAUAAAAUAUGUACAAAUGUUUAUCUGAAAUGGCCUGGGGAGUUGAUUUCUGGGAAAUAACUUGAAAAAUGCUUUAACUAGUGUAUUUCUUAUUAUCAUCUCUCUUCAAACGCAUCCCCAUCGUGACCCAUCUGAAACAUCGCAGAGAACUUUUCAGUGAUAGAAAAUCGAAUAUGUAAUCCAUCCUCCCGAGGAUAAACCUUCCUCCCGAGAUCUAACCAUUCAAAAUUCUUCAGUAUGUCUUUCCCCAGUUUUGCAUACUUCUUUUGUAGUUGUUGUCCCAGUUUGAAGAAACCUACUUAUGUUUCUCAGCCUCAGAGUUCAAGACAGGACUCUGAGUUAAACACUCUGCAUUUCAAACAUGAGAAACUCUCUCUCUCUCUCUUGGCAUAAGUUUGUCUUCUAAAGACACCAGCAGAAAUGUUGUCCAGCAGGGCAACCCAACAAGUAGAAUCAGAGAAACAGAUAAACUGUAACCAGCAACUUCCCCUCCUACCAUCCCUUCUAAUGCCAAUGAUUCAGAGACUCAAACUUUGCUGUCUUAUUAAAAUGAUUCGUUCUCUGCAAUAUGUAAAAAACUUACAUAUCUGAGAUUAAUAGUUGGAAGUGUUGGAAGAAAAAUCAGUGUGAUAGGAAAUUGAUAGACAGAGCAAUGUAAUAAGCAAAACUAAAAAACAAGAAAAAGAUGUUAACUUUAGAAGUCUGUCUUUAUUGUUUUCUCUAUUCUCCUUAACCUUCCGAAACAAAGUACCCUUAGGUUUUAUACAAGAAGGAUUUUAGUUUUUCUAUUCAAUACAAUCUCUAUUGCGGAAAUUAAGGUUUCCUUUAACAUAUGGGAUUACCUUUACGUAACAGUGUCCUAUUCUUUACAUGGUUUCUCUACUUUGACAGCUCACGACAAUACUCCCCCUCAAGGUGCUGCAUAUAUAUCUCUUAUGCCCAAUUUGUCAAGUGAGUUGUAGAAGAUUUUAGUGGACACUGCCUUCGUGAGUAUAUCCACCAACUGGUCAACUGAUUUGAUGAAUGGGAACUGAAUAAUUUUUUCAUCUAGGUUCUGUUUAAUAAAAUGUUGACCCACCUCAACGUGUUUAGUGCGGUCAUGCUGGACAAGAUUGUGGGAGAUGUCCAUGGUUGGCUUUUUAUCACAAAACAAAUUCAUUUCAGAGCUAGGAGCAGCACCAAUCUCCGUGAGCAACCUUCUAAGCCAAAGAAGCUCACAAAGACCUUUAGCCAUUCCUCAAAAUUUAGCUUCAGCGCUGGGUAAAGCCACUACUUUUUGCUUCUUGCUUCUCCAUGUAACAAGGUUGCCUCCAACAAAUGUAAAAUAGCCUGAUGAGGACUUUCUAUCUGAAACAUUUGCUGCCUAGUCAGCAUCCGUGUAUCCAUCAACAUUCACCUAAUUAUUUUUUGAGAACAUAAGUCCCUUACUAGGGGAGGACUUUAAGUAACGUAGAAUCCAAAUUACAACAUCCAUAUGGUUUUCACUAGGAUAGUACAUGAACUGACUCACUACACUUACAGUGUAGGUAAUAUCUGGGUGGGUAUGAGAUAAAUAGAUAAGCUUACCCACUAACCGUUGAUACCUCUCUUUUUUCGUUGGCACUUGAUCUGUAUAUUCUCCAAGUUUAUGAUUUUGAACAAUAAGGAGUAUCAGCUGGUUUACAUUCCAGUAACCCUAAUUCUGUCAGCAAGUCUAGUACAUAUUUCCUUUGGAAAAGGAAUAUGCCUUGUCUUGACCUGGCCACUUCAAUCUCAAGGAAAUAAUUGAGCCUUCCUAGGUCCUUCAUUUCAAAUUUAGUUGACAAUUGUUCUUGGGAGUCUGGAUAUUUCUUCUGCAUCAUCUCCUGUAACAAUCAUGUCGUCUACAUAAACUAUUAGAGUUAUCACCUUUCCCAGUCGAUGUUUUAGGAAGAGUGUAUGAUCUGAAUUGCUUUGUUAAAACUUAUAUUUUCUCAUAGCCGAACUAAACCGACCAAACCAUGCACGAGGUGAAUGUUUUAAUUUGUACAAUGCUCGUUGCAGCUUACAUACCACUCGUGCCUCUAAGGAAGACGAGCAUCCUGGCGGAAUGUCCAUAUAAACCUCCUCCUCAAGAUCAACAUGGAGGAAGGUAUUUUUUACAUCAAGUUGGUGCAAUGGCCAAUCUAAAUUUGCUGCAAUAGAUAACAAGACUAACAAUAUUUAGUUUGGCUACGGGUGAGAAAGUUUCUUAAUAAUCUAUUCCAUAUGUCUGUGUAUACCCCUUUGCCACUAGUCUUGCCUUGUGUCGAUCGAUGGACCCAUCUGCAUUGUAUUUAAUGGAUAAAAUCCACUUGCACCAGCCCCUUCUCAUCAAUGGACUCUUGACGUAUACGAAGGAGUGCCCCACUGUCUUCUUUCCUCUAGGUAGUUCCACCAGUGCCAAUGUUUUAUUUUUCUGUAAAGCCUACGGUUCUUCCUUUAUAGCGUUAGCCCAAUAUGGAUCUGUCAAGGCUUCUUCAACGGUGCUAGGUAUUUUACAUGAGGACAAGGUAUGUGCAAAUGCUCUAAGAGGUCCAGAUAACCAUUGCAUAGAUAUAUAGUUGGCUAUUGGAUAUUUAGAACGUCUGUCUUUUAUAUUUGGAGAGUACCUAUUUGGUGGCUUGCCCCGAUUGUGUCUGUAAGGUAGAACAUGACUGGCAAAUUUAUCCAUGACAUUAGUGUGUAAAGGUGUAGUAGGAGAACUUACAUUAGGAUUAUUCUCAAGAGGAGGUUCGUCAGGGUCAGGUACUAAGAGGUGGGGAAAGUCAUCUGCAAAGUCUGCACUUAUCGCUGAAACCAACUCAUCUCUUGGAUCCACAGGAACCAUUGAAGCACCUUGAACAUUCAGCUCAAUUCUUUCAUCUUCAUUGUUCAUAUACGUUUGAUUGUUUCCAACAUCCAGCCCUUCACCAACCAGUAGGUGUUGCUCUCCUCCCAACCAAUUCUGCUCUUCAUCGCGAUGCUCCUCUUGAAGAGUGGAAUUGGAUGCCGAAGAUGGGAAGAAGGUGUCAGAUUCUAAAACCGUGACAUCCAUGGUAAUGUAGGUGCGUUUUUUGGUGGGAUCAAAGUAGCGAUAUCCUUUCUUAUAUACUCCAUACCCUAAGAACAGGCAUCGAAUUACGCAUGUGUCCAACUUAGUUCUUUGAUUUUUAUGGAGGUGUACAAAUGCAACGCAACCGAAAAUACAGGGAGGAAGCAACAACACAGUAGGUAAUGGGACAUGGUUAGAUAUAACCUUUAAUGGAGUCUGAAAUGUUAAUACCUUUGUAGGAAUACGAUUCAAUAAAUGCACGGUCGUAGCAACAACAUCAUCCCAAUAGCGACUAGGCAUAUGUGCCCCGAUUAAUAAAGUGCAUGUAGUUUCUAAGAUAUGUUGAUUCUUCCUUUCAGCAAGACCAUUUUGUUGUGGGUUUUGAGAACAUGAGGUCUCAUGGAGAAGACCAUGAUUCUAAAAGUAUGCUUGAAACUGCUGAUUAACAUAUUCCCCUCCAUUGUCAGAAUGAAGGAUAUGAAUCUUCAUAGAAAAUUUGAGUCUAAACCAUGAUGUGAAAGGAUUUGAACACACUAAAUACUUCAUCUUUGUGUUUUAGUAAGUACAACCAUGUCAUUCGAGUGCAAUCAUCGACAAAAAUCACAAACCAACGAUGUUCAAAAGAAGUAGUAACAGGGGAAGGUCCCCACACAUCAGAGUGUAUUAAUGCAAAUGGAAUUGUACUUUUAUUCAUGCUCACAGGAUAAGAAACCCUAUGAAUCUCGGCUAGAAUGCAAGUAUUACACGUAAAUUUUGAGUGUAUUCCAUUGGAAAAUAAAUCUGGAAAUAAGUGCUUCAAAUAACCAAUUGAAGGAUAUCAUAAGCGAUGGUGCCAUUACCAAAUAUGUUCUUUCUUGCUAACCGCAUGGUGCAUGAUAUUUUCUCUGCCUGUACUAAGGUCAUCAACAUAGUAUAAUCCCCCCUCUUAGUAGUAUGCCCAUUUAUCUCCUUAGUGAGAAUAUCCUGAAGAAGAUGAAAUGUAGAGUAUAUUAAUACCACAUAAUUGAGAUCAACAGUAACUUAGCUUACAGACAUUAGUUUGUGGGAAAGAGAUGGAACAAGUAACGUAUGAGAUAAUUAUAAAGAAGGAGAUAGAGUUACAGUUCCAGCCCUUGUAACUAGGCAAGGGACCCCAUUAGCAGUAGCAACAUGACUUCGUCUUGGCAGAGUUGUAUGAGAAAAAUCAUUAGAGUCAAAUGUCAGUAGCCCUAGAGUCGAGAAUCCAUUUGUCAUCAGCAUUGUGAGUAGAGCUAUAGAGUGCGUUACUGCUGUUACCUGAAUUAUGUGUGGUUUCUACAUGGGAGGUGAGGAAUAGUGAAGGUUCCCCAGUAACUAUAGUAGCUCUUCUUGUGCUGGCAUUACUUAUAGGAGUGUCUCAUUUCUUCCUUUUCUGAAGAUCAUGCCACCAAUCUAGGUAUCCAUGUAACUUAAAGCAGGUUUCACAGGUAUGUUUGGCGUUGCCACAAUGAGUGCACUUCAUUUCAUCUGAUGGAGUCGUCAUUUUUACGGAUGGAUUUGGUUUGUCAUUGCUCAGGGAGAGAAACCUUGUCUUCAGUGGUGUAUGGUAACGGCCUGCCUUGAGUGCUUUGGAAUUCAUAACCAUUCUAGGAGCACUCUCGGCCACUGAUGUCAUUACUGUCUGUCUUAUUUCUUCCUGUCUGACAUAAGCAUAAGCCUGCUCCACUGUAAGGAAUGGUUUUAGCUAAAGCACAUUGACACGACCAAAAGCUUGAUGUCUUUUCCCAAGUGCAGGAGUGUCGAAGUAAUCAAUAACCUGGGAAGACCAGGGUCGAACCACAAAGAGGUUAAUUGUAUAAAUUAUAAAUAACAAUACAACAACAACAACAAUAAUAACAAUAAUAAUUAUUAUAAUACUCAGUACGUGGCGUUGUUAUACCUGAGAAUGAUCUAAAAGAUCGGGUCACAGGUUUCUAGCCUAUAUACUGAGUUUAUGAUAAGAUCAAAGAUAUAUAUUAUAUAAUAUAAACAGAAUAUAAAUAAUAAUAAUAAUAAUAAUAAAAGGAGAAGAUGAAGAAAUUAAUGAGAACUUUGAGAUGAAAGAUUAACGUAAGGAUUAAAUAAUGAUAAAAACAAAUGUCAAGGUUAGAGGAUCCACUAAUGGUACUUCAAACAAAUAUAGUAUAAACUCUUAUUACUCAAUUGGAAACCACACAUAAAGGAGGUUCCAAUCAGAUUAUAAAUUGUUAACAUGAUUACAUUAGUUAUCUUAUUCGAAUAAAGCUAAUACUUGUAAAUGUUGGCAGGCAUUCAUGAUUAUAACUUAUGUUAACAACAAAUCAAGUUCUUUUCAUAGCUCAGGUGUCGGUUAAACCAUACAGUAUGGGCUAUGAAAGUGCCAAGUAUUUGUUGUACCAAGUGUUAUACAACAUAAAUCUAGAUUAACCAUUUAACAAGCAAAGUAUUCAAAGUGAACAAGAUAACAAAUAUAAAACAUGUUAGUAUCCAAUGUUAAGGUCCAUGUUAAGUUUAUAUUAUACUUGUUCUUACACCAUUAGUGUACCCUUUUCACCUUGACAUAAUUAACUUAGCUAACAUAAUAAAAGAAAGAAACAUAAAUGAACAAGAUAAGAACAUAAAUGAGAAAGAAGUUAACUAGAAAAGGAAAGGAAAUGAAGUGCAUAAACUUGAUAUUAAUGAAAGCAAGACAUAAGCAAUACAAAGAGAGAAAGCAAGAGCAUGAUCUUGAUCUGAAACCAAGAUGCCUCAAUACAUGGUAAGUGCCUCCUUUUAUAGGCCAAAAUUUGGAACUAUUGAUUUGUUGACUAAUUGAUGAGUGGGUGGCCACAUCUUGACUAGAUAACAAUCCUUAUCUUCUUGUCUGAUCAAGACGUCAUUGCUAACAUCAUAAUUUGCCCAGAAUCCUCAAGAAUGUUCUAGGAAAUUGUCUCAGCUUUCCAACAAAAAAAAGAUGAGGUCAUUUGGACUUCUAGAACUCAAGAUAUGGGUGAACACUAAAUAGUGUUUGGGCUGCAGGACAGCUUCGGACUUCUUCGUUGUUCCUUCAAUUUGGACUUCAAAACGACCUUUUCAAAUCUUGGGCUCCUCAUGAAAGUUGUAGGCCUUUGUCUUACCUUUCCAUCCAUAUAAAGUGGACCUAAAUCCGAAAUCUAGAGCUCCAGAUAUGAUCCAAUUACCGAGCAAUGUUCCGGUUUGGACUGCACCGACAUCUCUUUUCUAAGUUUGGCCAUCUCUUUGUCCUUUAACUUUCAAUGCUUAAACUCAUCAAUCAAUCCUUUUAUUUAUGUGAUAGUCCUGCAUUUAAAAUGAGCAUUUACCAUAAAUUAAGGUAUCUUAUAAUAUCAAACUUGUUAUUAUAAAACAUGCUUUAGUUAAGGAGUUAUUGAUACUUCAAGUGCAAAAUGAUGAUAUAAAACCUUGAUAAACAUGCACUUUUAAGUACUAAUCACACCCCCAACCAGCUUAUUACUAGUCCCUAGUAAUCUAAAGCGUUAAAAUAGAGAAACAAUUUGCAAGUUCCACAAAGCAAGGCAUUCAUCAUUCAACUUCCAUUAAUCUAUCCAGAUAAACAAACUCUCAUUAAAUUUAUAUUCCUGCUUCAUACUUCUUAAACAAGAUAUUAAUAAACCUUCUUUUUAUGUGCUCAAUAUAUGAAAACAUAGAUGAUGGGGCUUUUGUUGGAAGAAAACAAUAUUAUGUUCAAAUGUUUAAGGUGAACUUCCUUGGGUUGGGAAUUUUUUUUUUUCUUCUUUUUUUUUUCUCUUUUUUAUAUAUAUAUACAUACAACUUAAAACACAAACACAAUGUAUCUUUAACCCAUGUAACGAGUUUUAGGCUAAUGACUCCCAGACCAGUUGGUCUUAGGGCAUUAGGUGUUGAGACACCCCUACGAGCUUAACAACUCGGGUUGCAGAUACUGAUACGUAGAUAGUGCAAUGUUUGAUUCCCUUAAGCGUUUCUCCUUAACCCGUGUAACAAGCUUUGGGCCAAUAGCUCCCAAGUUAGUUGACUUUAGGGUAUUAGGUGUUAAAACACCCCUUCGAGCUUAAUUGUUUAGGUUAGGGAGGUUACGAAACCAAACUUAUCCACGUUUUAUUAUCAUCAAUACUAUCUUUUUUUUUUUUUUUUUUUUGCAAAUUAUAUACUAUCCUUUUCCCUUAGUUGUUACCUUCAACAAAAGAACAUAAUUAAUGUAAUAAUCCAAUGUGCAACCCACAAUCAUAUGUUAAAGUGUGUGUGUGAAAAUGAAGGUUUAAUAAUACUUGUUAAAUGAGUAUAGGAGCAGAAUCAAGUGAUAACAAUGUGAGAGUUUGUAAACCUGAAUAUUUCAAGAAGUAUUAUGAUAGACCUUGUAAUGAAAUACUUAGAUUCUAAGAUGCGUCUCUAAGUCAAUAAUUCCAUACUCUGCCAUCCUAAAUAACAAUUUUGUCAAAUGGUUUUAAUAAAGCAAAAACAGUUAGCAAGUUAGUUUUUUUUUUUUUUUUAAACUACUACCCUCUCCCCCCAACCAAAACGAGACAUUGUCCUCAAUGUUCGAAGGUAGAAAGAUAGAGUAUAGAAGACAUCACCUGAAACAGCGAACAAUGACAAACCUGAAACACACUUAAACAAACAUAAGAAGUAACAAAACAAAAUAAUAUGCUAUUAAUAAAACCAAAAGACACAAGGUUUCACAGAUGAAGGCUCAAAUCUAAUCUAAGCUUUUUACGGCUUUCCUUAGUUGACCAAUCUAGACGACUCAUGCAGGGAUCAAUGACAGGGAUGAAAGAUUGUAGUUGGUCAAUCAAUUGUUCAGCAGUAGCAGCAGAGAUUAUGAUUCGUCGUGCCGAAGAUGUUAGAAAUUCCUGUUCCACAGCUUGAUCAAGGAAAGACAGCAACUUAUCAUAAAAACCAUUAACAUUUAACAAACCUAUAGGUUUAUGGUGAAUGUGCAGUUGGGCCCAAGAUGAAAUAUGAAAGAUCUCUUCCAAUGUGCCCAGACCACCUGGUAAGGCAAUGAAGGCAUCAGCAUGGUUAAACAUGGUAUUCAGUCGGUCAGACAUUGUUGGGACCUGUAGUUCCUCUCCAAUUGUUUUUCCAAUGAUGUCCCCAUUUGCUAAAGCUUUGGGGACAACCCCCAAAACUUGACUGCCUCCUAAAAAUGCAGCCAUUGACACACCUCCCAUUAACCCAAGGCUGCCUCCCCCAUACACUAAAUGAAUCUUUCUCUCAGCUAGUACCCGACCAAGAUGAUUUGCUGAUUCUAAAAACUCUUUUUCUUUCCCAGAACUGGAUCCACCGAAAACACAAAUAUUUCUUAUAUGAUGACUUGAGGAACCUGCCAUUUCUACACACUUCUAUAUUUGAUGAAUAUAUGGGAUGAGUAGAAAUGAAGGGAAGGAAGAUAAGAAUUUAUAGAAAAAGUGAAAAUGCAAUCAUACCACCUAUAUGUAGGCCAGCUGUAGUCUCACAAACUCACUCUCUCUCUCUCUCUAUUUAUUAAUUAUUUAUUUUUGAAAAAGCAUGUAUGUACAGGUAGUUGUGAUUGUGGCUCACAUCUUCCCUUGGUUUUACGUCCAAGAAUGGCUUAAACACCCUCUAUGGGUCGGGGAUAGGCUUCCCAUCCAGUUUUCUUAAAAACUGGCAAACAGGGUCUUUUUUAGUCAGAUUCCCAAGACUAAGUCGAUCAUGUUCUUUAUGGAAUUGUGGCCAUAAAUCAUGAAUUACACGAUGCACAUCUCCACUAGGAUGCGUCUCAAGGGUCAACAAAAGAUUAUCUAAAGACCUCUUACUCAGGCCAUCCUUAAUGAAUUGUAUUUUAUCUUCACGGUUUACAGAUACCAUUCCUAAAGAACUACAUGUCGCAUUACAAGUCCAUCUGGCACAUCUGUGACAGACUUUCAAUCGUUUUGCACGACGUUUCAUUGCAAAAGUGCUUUUACCUGUUCCAGGCAUGUGUGAAAUGAAAGAAUUGGAGGACUCACCUGAUAAGCGGACCUUUGCUUCAAUUAACCAGCGAAUAUCUUCAGGAAUUUCAUGAUUCAUUAAUAACCUCAAUCUUGCACACCUAGCACGGUAAAUUUUAUUAAUCGCAUUUGGAGGCAAAGAGGGAAAAUACCUUUUCAACUUUUCAAGAGUGUUGCUACCCAUUUUUUGAUCCAUGUUUUGAUAUAUUUUCAAAAAAUUCAAAAAUAGAGAAAAACAAAGAAAAUCCAAAAAAAUAUGUUUUUUUAAUAUAUUUUCGUCAUUUUAGCAUUUUUAACGUCGUCUAAAAAAUGAUUUAAAUUUUUAAGGGUCUUUUGAACGCGUUCGACUUUUCACCCGUCAUUUUAAAAUCUUUGAUUUUCCUCAUCGAGUCGACGUUGAUAUUGCUCGUUUUCAAAAAUACAAAAAAAUUAAAAAAAUAUCAAAUUUACAAAAAAGAAAGAAGUUGAGAGACCAAGUUUGAAAACUUGGCAACAUUUUUACCUAUAAAUACUGGUUUCCAACACUUGCAAAAGGGGGGGGGCAAUUUUGAAAACACCAGAAAAUACAACAAAAAAACCCUAAACCACAAAAAACCUAAAAAAAACCCAAUGACAACCGCCUCCCCCAGCUGGUUUUUGAAUUUUUCUCCCCAAGUUUUGUUCUCCUGAAGCCAAGACAGCAGCCACCCCACCCUUGCAUUUUUUGGACACCGGCCAAACAGCCCCUCCCCCAAAUAGCCGCUCAUUUUUUCUCUUCUCCCUCACCCGGCAGCAACAUCGGAGCUUCUUCUCUCUCAGCCGACAACAAACCCACGGCACGCAGCAGCCACUCCGUCCCUCUUCCCCUCUCGUCUCCAGCUCCUUCUCCUCUCAACCAUGGCCUCCCUCAUUCUCCAAGACACAGCAGCUUCAUUUUUUCUCUCCAAGACGACCCAACAACCUCAUGGCCGGCUUUUACAGCAUCUCCUUCCCCAUUAAUCAUGUUUUCUUCUCAAAUCGGUCCGCCGCUGCACCUCCAGCCCCCACGCCGGACUAGCUCCCCUCUUCCAGCCGCUCCUCCAGCGCCCACAGACCCAUCAACACCGAAGCCUCUCCCUUCUCGGCGGCAUCUUCUUCGUUGGUCUUCUCAACAGUAAACAAUCAAAUCAGCAGCACCCACGGAGCUAUCAACGCCGUCCACAACGUCAGCCACGGCCACACCACCCGAUCUGCCAUCCUAAGCAGAGGAGAAGAAGACGAACAAGUAAACCGAUCUGCAGCAAAGCAGAUCAAAAACAGACCCGAGAACAGAUCUGCAAAGGAGAAAAGAAAAUUAAAAUCGACUUCUUUAUUGUGUUUUUGGUGGUUCUUGCAGGUCACCGCCGGCGAGAAAAGAAAGGGGAGAAGAGGCUGAAGCCAGAUCCCCGCGUUUCCAGUUUCUGCCUUGCGGCAGCGCGUCAACCCACGCGCCGCCAGUGACGGUGGCGCGUGGAGGAGACGCGCCACCACCGCCCCACAGUUCCAGAAGUCAUCUUGUGCAGCUCCCGGACAUUUUAAGGAUCUUUUUGUAAUUUGUUACAUGUUUGAACAUGUAUUUAAUUAUUGUUGGGUUUGUUUAAGUAUUAUUAUUUUGUAAAUAUAAAAAGAAAAGAAAAGAAAAGAAACAAAAAUAGUGAAAGUGUAUGAUUGUG